GAGAGGCUGACCAAUGAUGGACAAAGCCAGGUUGGCUCAUCUGUGCAGGAUGCCACUGAAGCCAGUGUGGGCCAUUAUGUGUUUUCUGAGGAAACAGGUUGUUGUAAUGUGCAAAUGGGCAACAGUUCCCACUCUGGCUUUGAGAACAGGAAAUUUUCUGUUGAGGAAAUUAGUGUAGGAAUGUCAAGUUCAGGUGCCACUGAACAAAUUGUUGAGGCUUUGAUGUUAGAUGAAAGUGCUUUGGAAGAAAAAUUGGAAGAAAUAUCUUCAAUAGCAAGAAACACCAAUGAACCUGGUUUACAGAACGCUGAUCAAGAUGACAAUUCUGAGGGUGUAAUCUCUGAUUUUUCUUGUUCACAUUCACAAAUCGUGGAUGUGUUCGGAACAUUUCCUAGCAAGAAGUUUGAUCAAGAAUGUGUAUCUGAUGAAAGAAACGUUGCAUUAGCAGGUUUUGGCAUUUCUGAGGAGAGUGGAUCCAAUGGAACUCAAUCCUUCAUUUACUGCGAGAAAUCUGAGAACUCACUAGUAGGGUUGGAUGGUUCAAAAGAACAAGCUGAGGAAACACUGUGUCUCACUAGUGGUGGACCUGGGGAUGUUAACUUUUGUGCUGAAACUUUGCAUGUGACAACCGAAUUACUACCUGAGGAUACAGUUACUGAGCAAGCUGAGGAAAUAGAAUUGGAGACAGUAUUCACCAAGUCUUGUGAUAAUUACCCUCAACUAACAAAUCCAUCUCCUCCUUCGGUAUGUGGCUGUGAUGUGGUGAAUUUUGAAGUUCCAUUGGCAGUGCCAAAAUCCCAUGCUCAAAUGAUCACUGUGGACCCUAUACUUGAUUUGACUGAAGCAGAUUCAAAGAGCAUUAGCUCCAUUUCCAAUUUAUCAGUUUGUCAAUUUGAAAAUGGGAGAAAUAUUGCGUAUCAAAUUGCCAGAGAUGAGCUGCGACCUUCCUUGAAAUCAGUGAGUGGUUUAGAACAACUUCANAACUUCAUGGUGAUUGUGACCUGGAAAAAGCAGUUAGUGUUCCAGUAUCAGAGAAUUCAGAGGAGGAACAAUUCAUUUUCAGUGAUCUUGAUGACUUCAAACACAGAG
rnacentral:misc_RNA from 1 species